GAUUGUCACAGCAUUAACUGAGGAACCGUACAAUCUACGAGGACAUGGCAAUUGCCAUGGGGCCAAGCUGAUGCAGCAUGUCGCGGUAUGAGAGCUCGAUGUAAGUACUCAGCGAGGAGAGCGUAAGUUAUACUAGCGAAUGACGUUACUGGCAGAAGAAGCACCGGCUUACUCGUGCCAGCAGCGCGGUAAUACGGAGGGUGGCAGCGUGAUCGGAAUUACUGGGCGGUAAAGCGCACGCAGGCGGUCUGUCAAGUCGGAUGUGAAAUCCCCGGGCUCAACCUGGAACUGCAUUCGAUACUGGCAGGCUAGAGUCUGUAGAGGGGGUAGAAUUCCACGGUGUAGCGGUGAAAUGCGUAGAGAUCUGGAGGAAUACCCGGUGGCGAAGGCGGCCCCCUGGACAAAGACUGACGCUCAGGUGCGAAAGCGUGAGCAAACAGGAUUAGAUACCCUGGUAGUCCACGCCGUAAACGAUGUCGACUUGGAGGUUGUGGGGCCCUUGAGGCGUGGCUUCCGGAGCUAACGCGUUAAGUCGACCGCCUGGGGAGUACGGCCGCAAGGUUAAAACUCAAAUGAAUUGACGGGGGCCCGCACAAGCGGUGGAGCAUGUGGUUUAAUUUGAUGCAACGCGAAGAACCUUACCUACUCUUGACAUCCAGAGAACUUAGCAGAGAUGCUUUGGUGCCUUCGGGAACUCUGAGACAGGUGCUGCAUGGCUGUCGUCAGCUCGUGUUGUGAAAUGUUGGGUUAAGUCCCGCAACGAGCGCAACCCUUAUCCUUUGUUGCCAGCGGUUAGGCCGGGAACUCAAAGGAGACUGCCAGUGAUAAACUGGAGGAAGGUGGGGAUGACGUCCAAAGUCAUCAUGGCCCUUACGAGUAGGGCUACACACGUGCUACAAUGGCAUAUACAAAGAGAAGCGACCUCGCGAGAGCAAGCGGACCUCAUAAAGUAUGUCGUAGUCCGGAUUGGAGUUUGCAACUCGACUCCAUGAAGUCGGAAUCGCUAGUAAUCGUAGAUGAAUGCUACGGUGAAUACGUUCCCGGGCCUUGUACACACCGCCCGUCACACCAUGGGAGUGGGUUGCAAAAGAAGUAGGUAGCUUAACCUUCGGGAGGGCGCUUACCACUUUGUGAUCAUGACUGGGGUGAAGUCGUUAGCAACUGAAUC
rnacentral:rRNA from 1 species